AAAUUGAAGAGUUUGAUCAUGGCUCAGAUUGAACGCUGGCGGCAGGCCUAACACAUGCAAGUCGAACGGUAACAGGAAGAAGCUUGCUUCUUUGCUGACGAGUGGCGGACGGGUGAGUAAUGUCUGGGAAACUGCCUGAUGGAGGGGGAUAACUACUGGAAACGGUAGCUAAUACCGCAUAACGUCGCAAGACCAAAGAGGGGGACCUUCGGGUCUCUUGCCAUCGGAUGUGCCCAGAUGGGAUUAGCUAGUAGGUGGGGUAACGGCUCACCUAGGCGACGAUCCCUAGCUGGUCUGAGAGGAUGACCAGCCACACUGGAACUGAGACACGGUCCAGACUCCUACGGGAGGCAGCAGUGGGGAAUAUUGCACAAUGGGCGCAAGCCUGAUGCAGCCAUGCCGCGUGUAUGAAGAAGGCCUUCGGGUUGUAAAGUACUUUCAGCGGGGAGGAAGGGAGUAAAGUUAAUACCUUUGCUCAUUGACGUUACCCGCAGAAGAAGCACCGGCUAACUCCGUGCCAGCAGCCGCGGUAAUACGGAGGGUGCAAGCGUUAAUCGGAAUUACUGGGCGUAAAGCGCACGCAGGCGGUUUGUUAAGUCAGAUGUGAAAUCCCCGGGCUCAACCUGGGAACUGCAUCUGAUACUGGCAAGCUUGAGUCUCGUAGAGGGGGGUAGAAUUCCAGGUGUAGCGGUGAAAUGCGUAGAGAUCUGGAGGAAUACCGGUGGCGAAGGCGGCCCCCUGGACGAAGACUGACGCUCAGGUGCGAAAGCGUGGGGAGCAAACAGGAUUAGAUAUCCUGGUAGUCCACGCCGUAAACGAUGUCGACUUGGAGGUUGUGCCCUUGAGGCGUGGCUUCCGGAGCUAACGCGUUAAGUCGACCGCCUGGGGAGUACGGCCGCAAGGUUAAAACUCAAAUGAAUUGACGGGGCCCGCACAAGCGGUGGAGCAUGUGGUUUAAUUCGAUGCAACGCGAAGAACCUUACCUGGUCUUGACAUCCACGGAAGUUUUCAGAGAUGAGAAUGUGCCUUCGGGAACCGUGAGACAGGUGCUGCAUGGCUGUCGUCAGCUCGUGUUGUGAAAUGUUGGGUUAAGUCCCGCAACGAGCGCAACCCUUAUCCUUUGUUGCCAGCGGUCCGGCCGGGAACUCAAAGGAGACUGCCAGUGAUAAACUGGAGGAAGGUGGGGAUGACGUCAAGUCAUCAUGGCCCUUACGACCAGGGCUACACACGUGCUACAAUGGCGCAUACAAAGAGAAGCGACCUCGCGAGAGCAAGCGGACCUCAUAAAGUGCGUCGUAGUCCGGAUUGGAGUCUGCAACUCGACUCCAUGAAGUCGGAAUCGCUAGUAAUCGUGGAUCAGAAUGCCACGGUGAAUACGUUCCCGGGCCUUGUACACACCGCCCGUCACACCAUGGGAGUGGGUUGCAAAAGAAGUAGGUAGCUUAACCUUCGGGAGGGCGCUUACCACUUUGUGAUUCAUGACUGGGGUGAAGUCGUAACAAGGUAACCGUAGGGGAACCUGCGGUUGGAUCACCUCCUUA
rnacentral:rRNA from 1 species